rnacentral:rRNA from 1 species
AAAAAGGCAAAUUGGGAUAUGCACACCACAUAGCCAUUUUAUGCCAGUAUAUGCAAAGAUGAGGUUGAAAAUCGUAACAGGCCAGGGGGAUGUUUGAACCGUAGAGGUUAUGAUAAAAAUCUUGGAGAAAAGUUCUUGGCUAGGACAGGGAAACAAAUUUCCAAGACUCGGUUAAAAAACAAAUGGGACAUGUUGAGGAGACAGUAUACACAAUUCAUGGUGUUGAAAAAUGCGGCAACUGGGCUAGGUUGUGAUGACGUGAAAGGAACUAUUGUAGCCGAUGAUGAUUGGUGGAAGGUUCAUCUUAAGGCAUGUAGUAUCUCGUGA